GCCUGGGUGGCUCAGUCGGUUGAGCCUCCGACUUCGGCUCAGGUCAUGAUCUCACGGUCGUGGGUUCGAGCCCCAUGUCGGGCU
rnacentral:tRNA from 1 species